AAUGGGUCAGCGACUUAUAUUCUGUAGCAAGGUUAACCGCAUAGGGGAGCCGGAGGGAAACCGAGUCUUAACCGGGCGUUAAGUUGCAGGGUAUAGACCCGAAACCCGGUGAUCUAGCCAUGGGCAGGUUGAAGGUUGGGUAACACUAACUGGAGGACCGAACCGACUAAUGUUGAAAAAUUAGCGGAUGACCUGUGGCUGGGGGUGAAAGGCCAAUCAAACCGGGAGAUAGCUGGUUCUCCCCGAAAGCUAUUUAGGUAGCGCCUCGUGAAUUCAUCUCCGGGGGUAGAGCACUGUUUCGGCUAGGGGGCCAUCCCGGCUUACCAACCCGAUGCAAACUGCGAAUACCGGAGAAUGUUAUCACGGGAGACACACGGCGGGUGCUAACGUCCGUCGUGAAGAGGGAAACAACCCAGACCGCCAGCUAAGGUCCCAAAGUCAUGGUUAAGUGGGAAACGAUGUGGGAAGGCCCAGACAGCCAGGAUGUUGGCUUAGAAGCAGCCAUCAUUUAAAGAAAGCGUAAUAGCUCACUGGUCGAGUCGGCCUGCGCGGAAGAUGUAACGGGGCUAAACCAUGCACCGAAGCUGCGGCAGCGACACUCAGGUGUUGUUGGGUAGGGGAGCGUUCUGUAAGCCUGUGAAGGUGUGCUGUGAGGCAUGCUGGAGGUAUCAGAAGUGCGAAUGCUGACAUAAGUAACGAUAAAGCGGGUGAAAAGCCCGCUCGCCGGAAGACCAAGGGUUCCUGUCCAACGUUAAUCGGGGCAGGGUGAGUCGACCCCUAAGGCGAGGCCGAAAGGCGUAGUCGAUGGGAAACGGGUUAAUAUUCCCGUACUUGGUGUUACUGCGAAGGGGGGACGGAGAAGGCUAUGUUGGCCGGGCGACGGUUGUCCCGGUUUAAGCGUGUAGGUGUGUGUUCCAGGUAAAUCCGGUUCACUUUAACACUGAGGCGUGACGACGAGGCACUACGGUGCUGAAGCAACAAAUGCCCUGCUUCCAGGAAAAGCCUCUAAGCAUCAGGUAACAUCAAAUCGUACCCCAAACCGACACAGGUGGUCAGGUAGAGAAUACCAAGGCGCUUGAGAGAACUCGGGUGAAGGAACUAGGCAAAAUGGUGCCGUAACUUCGGGAGAAGGCACGCUGACACGUAGGUGAAGUGAUUUACUCAUGGAGCUGAAGUCAGUCGAAGAUACCAGCUGGCUGCAACUGUUUAUUAAAAACACAGCACUGUGCAAACACGAAAGUGGACGUAUACGGUGUGACGCCUGCCCGGUGCCGGAAGGUUAAUUGAUGGGGUCAGCGCAAGCGAAGCUCCUGAUCGAAGCCCCGGUAAACGGCGGCCGUAACUAUAACGGUCCUAAGGUAGCGAAAUUCCUUGUCGGGUAAGUUCCGACCUGCACGAAUGGCGUAAUGAUGGCCAGGCUGUCUCCACCCGAGACUCAGUGAAAUUGAACUCGCUGUGAAGAUGCAGUGUACCCGCGGCAAGACGGAAAGACCCCGUGAACCUUUACUAUAGCUUGACACUGAACAUUGAGCCUUGAUGUGUAGGAUAGGUGGGAGGCUUUGAAGUGUGGACGCCAGUCUGCAUGGAGCCGACCUUGAAAUACCACCCUUUAAUGUUUGAUGUUCUAACGUGGACCCGUAAUCCGGGUUGCGGACAGUGUCUGGUGGGUAGUUUGACUGGGGCGGUCUCCUCCUAAAGAGUAACGGAGGAGCACGAAGGUUGGCUAAUCCUGGUCGGACAUCAGGAGGUUAGUGCAAUGGCAUAAGCCAGCUUGACUGCGAGCGUGACGGCGCGAGCAGGUGCGAAAGCAGGUCAUAGUGAUCCGGUGGUUCUGAAUGGAAGGGCCAUCGCUCAACGGAUAAAAGGUACUCCGGGGAUAACAGGCUGAUACCGCCCAAGAGUUCAUAUCGACGGCGGUGUUUGGCACCUCGAUGUCGGCUCAUCACAUCCUGGGGCUGAAGUAGGUCCCAAGGGUAUGGCUGUUCGCCAUUUAAAGUGGUACGCGAGCUGGGUUUAGAACGUCGUGAGACAGUUCGGUCCCUAUCUGCCGUGGGCGCUGGAGAACUGAGGGGGGCUGCUCCUAGUACGAGAGGACCGGAGUGGACGCAUCACUGGUGUUCGGGUUGUCAUGCCAAUGGCACUGCCCGGUAGCUAAAUGCGGAAGAGAUAAGUGCUGAAAGCAUCUAAGCACGAAACUUGCCCCGAGAUGAGUUCUCCCUGAGACUUUAGGUCUCCUGAAGGAACGUUGAAGACGACGACGUUGAUAGGCCGGGUGUGUAAGCGCAGCGAUGCGUUGAGCUAACCGGUACUAAUGAACCGUGAGGCUUAACCUUACAACGCCGAAG
rnacentral:rRNA from 1 species